GCCGAAGUGGCGGAACUGGCAGACGCGGCAGAUUCAGGGUCUGUUGAGUGUAAUGCUCAUGCAGGUUCAACUCCUGUCUUCGGCA
rnacentral:tRNA from 1 species